UACAGAGGGUGCAAGCGUUGUUCGGAAUUACUGGGCGUAAAGCGCACGUAGGCGGCUUUGUAAGUAAGAGGUGAAAGCCUGGUGCUCAACACCAGAACUGCCUUUUAGACUGCAUCGCUUGAAUCCAGGAGAGGUGAGUGGAAUUCCGAGUGUAGAGGUGAAAUUCGUAGAUAUUCGGAAGAACACCAGUGGCGAAGGCGGCUCACUGGACUGGUAUUGACGCUGAGGUGCGAAAGCGUGGGGAGCAAACAGG
rnacentral:rRNA from 1 species